UACAGAGGGGGCAAGCGUUAUUCGGAAUUAUUGGGCGUAAAGGGCGCGUAGGCGGUUAGUUAAGUCAGAUGUGUAAUCCCCGAGCUCAACUUGGGAACUGCAUCUGAGACUGGCGGGCUAGAGUACUGGAGAGGGUGGUGGAAUUCCACGUGUAGCGGUGAAAUGCGUAGAGAUGUGGAGGAACACCAGUGGCGAAGGAGGCCAACUGGACAGUAAAUGACGCUGAGGCGCGAAAGUGUCGGUAGCAAACAGG
rnacentral:rRNA from 1 species